rnacentral:rRNA from 1 species
UACGUAGGGAGCAAGCGUUGUCCGGAAUCAUUGGGCGUAAAGCGCGCGUAGGCGGCCUCAUAAGUCCGUUGUGAAAGUCAAAGGCUCAACCUUUGAAAGCCGAUGGAUACUGCAGGGCUAGAGUACGGAAGAGGCGAGUGGAAUUCCUGGUGUAGCGGUGGAAUGCGCAGAUAUCAGGAGGAACACCAAUAGCGAAGGCAGCUCGCUGGGACGUUACUGACACUAAGGCGCGAAAGCGUGGGGAGCGAACAGG